UGUUCACCUGUGGUCACGGCUCCCAGUCACAUUUAGGAGCUAGAGGCGGGAGUCACUGCAGGAGGAGAGGUCCGCUUCCGAACUACGAACUACGCUUCCCAGGAGGCUGCUCGCUGUACCGUGAAGCACUUCCGGCAGAAUCCCCUCCUCUUUCUGACUCCCCUGUUGGCCCAGAGAUCCUUCUUCGACGUGCUGUCGCCCCCGCCUCGCCUUCAAGUCAGCCCAGGCUCUGAGAUGGGCCCCGCGGCAUUGCUCCGGGUUUCGGCGGACCACGAUGGAGGGAGCUGUGUGAUGAGGAAUGUGAGUGGUCUCUAAAAACUGAAAGCAGUCUUCGCCUGAAGGCCAGCAAGGACGUGGGGACCUCAGUCUUAGAACCAUAGGAACCAAAUGCUGCCAACAACCUGAAUGACUUGGAUGUGGAUUCUUACCCAGACCCUCCAGAUAAGGACCUGGCCUGCUGAUACCUUGACUUUGGCCUCGUGAGACCCUGAGGAAAAACUCAGCUGAAUCUCCUACACCUCUAAAUUCUAGAAUUGUGAGAUAAUAAAUGUUUUAAGCUGCUAAA